ACUGAUGGGGAAACGCGAAUCGACGUAACACCGGAGUAGUAUUACCGUAACUCCGUGAAUGUUCACUCAAUCUGAAAAAUUACAACGCUGACAAAGAGCUGAGAAUCACUGCUUCCUGUCAAUAUAUAAUCUUGGGUGUAUAUUACGGUAAUGUGAACACUACCGCGAAAACCGUAGCUUUGAAAAAAGACGAGAGAGGGAGAAAAGGAGAGAGAAAGAAGUAUGAAGUCAGCCAGCAUUAGAUAACGUUAUAUAGUAGGUUUUCUGUGUGUUUCUGGCUGUGUCUACAUUUUAUAAGACACAUAUAUAAUGUAUGGAAGACCGGCAAAGACUAUAAAACGGCCGCUACGGUUCAUAGAGGAGGAGAGAGAUGUGGAGGAUUCCUCUUCUGAACUGAGCACUUAGAUGAAGAGUCCUCCAGUGACAGUGUUCUCUCUUCUGAUGAGCAGCCAUCCUGCAGUGGUCCCAGCCAUGGUGACUACAUCUCACCACAAGGGAGAGGGAGAUGCAAAGGAGACGCUCUCGUCCCAUCCCACCAGUCACCCACCACUAACCUGACCCCACAAGCAGUGGAAAUCCAGCUUCCCAGCGUUCGACCAAGGAACAGCGUAUUUGCAAACUUUGCAAAAGGUGCACCAGCUGGAUGUGCAAACUUUGUAAUGCACCACAGUGUCUGCAACCAGACAGGGUCUGCUUUAAGCAGUUCCUUAUUGAACUACCAGCUGUGUAGAUAGUAGCGAUAGUACAAAGUUCUGUUGUUAUAAAUAAAGUAUUGUUAUAUUAUUGUUUUUAUUUUCACUUAUGAAUGUUAAAAAUGUAAAAAAUGCACUCAGUGUGUGUAUAUAGUUAUCUUUUGCACUGUUUUUUGCACACAUGUAAAGGUUAAUAUUUCAAGUUUCAAAUCAAACGUUCAUGUGCAAUAUUAAUAUAUGAUUUGAGAAUGUUCAUAACACAUUUUAUAUACCUUUGUAAUGUUAUUUGGCCUAAUUUACGCCUAUGUAUAUUGUUAUGUUUUGCACUGUUUUUUGCACACCCAGAGUCCUAGAUGCAAAUAAUGAGUUGCCAUUGUUCAGAACAUGUGUAGGCUCACAUUUCAAAUGUCAAAUCAAAACUUAAUUAACAAUCAGAAAAUGUAUUCUCA